rnacentral:rRNA from 1 species
GUCGACGAGGUAGCUCUACCUAGUGGCGCACGGGUGAGUAACGCGUGGAUAAUCUGCCCUUCGCUGGGGAAUAACUAAUCGAAAGGUUAGCUAAUACCGCAUGAGGCCACUUUUUCUGAGGAAGCAUUGGUUAAAAAUUUAUUGCUGAAGGAUGACUCUGCGUGGGAUUAGCUACUUGGUGAGGUAAUGGCUCACCACUGCUACGAUCUCUAACAGGUCUGAGAGGAUGACCUGUCACACUGGAACUGAGACACGGUCCAGACUCCUACGGGAGGCAGCAGUAGGGAAUAUUGCGCAAUGGACGAAAGUCUGACGCAGCGACGCCGCGUGAGUGAUGAAGGCCUUAGGGUCGUAAAGCUCUGUUGCAUGGGAAGAAAAAAAUGACGGUACCCUGCGAGAAAAGAUCGGCUAACUUCGUGCCAGCAGCCUCGGUAAGACCAGGGAUCCUAGCGUUGUUCGGAAUCAUUGCGCGUAUAGCGCACGUAGGCUGCCAUUCGUGUCAGUUGUGAAAGCCCCGGGCUCAACCCGGGAAGUGCUUCUGAUACUGUUUGGCUUGAGUACUGCGAGAGGAUAGUAGAAUUCCAGGUGUAGUGGUGAAAUACGUAGAUAUCUGGAGCGAAUA